rnacentral:rRNA from 1 species
UACGAAGGGGGGCUAGCGUUGCUCGGAAUCACUGGGCGUAAAGGGCGCGUAGGCGGCGUUUUUAAGUCGGGGGGUGAAAGCCUGUGGCUCAACCACAGAAUGGCCUUCGAUACUGGGACGCUUGAGUAUGGUAGAGGUUGGUGGAACUGCGAGUGUAGAGGUGAAAUUCGUAGAUAUUCGCAAGAACACCGGUGGCGAAGGCGGCCAACUGGACCAUUACUGACGCUGAGGCGCGAAAGCGUGGGGAGCAAACAGG